CUAACGUUUUCUAAUUCACGCAAGAUACGGAGCAGGCCUACAUCUUCGGCGGGGAAAACUUCCGUUGCGUGGUGAACGUCUAUUGUACUGUGCAUCUACGUCUACUACAAAGCACCAACGGAUUGAUUAAGAUAAUUUAUUCGACGUCGAUGAAACAUCAGCGGCGACCUCCUUGCCGUGGAAUUUACACCACGUUGUACCGGAGUAUUCCGUUCAGUUAGGGAAGAUUGGACGGCCUUUUGAUUUCAGCAUUGCACAGCAGAUGAUAAGACGAGGUGCAUCCGGCUUACCGUAGGUCAUACGCGUUCCGUUCAUCCCAUUGACGAUAACGUUAUAGCGAUCGUAACUGAUGGCAGCCAUUGUACAGAUGCUACACAAUCCGAAAAUAGAGCCGGUGCAGGCGUAUAAUUC